CAAUAGCGUAUAUCAAAGUUGUUGCGGUUAAAAAGCUCGUAGUUGGAUUUCUGCUGAGAACGACCGGUCCGCCCUUUGGGUGUGUAUCUGGCUCUUUCUUGGCAUCUUCUUGGUGAACGUUGCUGCACUUGACUGUGUGGAGCGCUACCCAGGACUUUUACUUUGAGGAAAUUAGAGUGUUUCAAGCAGGCAUACGCCUUGAAUACAUUAGCAUGGAAUAAUAAGAUAGGACCUCGGUUCUAUUUUGUUGGUUUCUAGAGCUGAGGUAAUGAUUAAUAGGGAUAGUUGGGGGCAUUCGUAUUUAACUGUCAGAGGUGAAAUUCUUGGAUUUGUUAAAGACGGACUACUGCGAANGNAUUUGCNAAGGAUGUUUNCAUUG
rnacentral:rRNA from 1 species